rnacentral:lncRNA from 1 species
UGUGAACACUAGUGAAGAUGAAAGGUUUUAAAAUAAUGUAUACGCUUCGGAAAUUUUGAAGGCAAACCCCUUGCUGAAUGUCACUGCCUAAGCAAUUUCCCUAUGUCAAAGAUCAGCAUAAACUCACUGAUUGGCUGUAGAACUACAGUUAAAGACUCCAGAAAAAGGGCUGCAACUACAUGAAGACGUGGACUACUUCUUUUUGUGGUGAUACCAGCUUUCCUGGCAUAAAAAAAAAGUGUUAAAUUGCAACCUUAAAUUUUCUCUUCACUGUAAACACACGUGUGCUGUUUUCCCAAGGAAAAAACAAAAAUCUUCUAUAUAAAAAGUGGCAUAUGGUUUUUGCUUCUAUGUAAUUAGUAAAUACCAAUAAGAUGCAUUCUGACUUGGAUCUUAUCUAGAGUUGAUAAUAUAAGCAGAAGCUAAUGACUCACUUCCACUAAAAUGCUUACUUAGAAGAAUGUACACUCAAUAAUUGAUUAAUUUUAAUGAGAUCAUUCAGUGGAUUUUACUUAAAGUAGAACUAUCUGGUUUUAUUCUGUUUAUUCCUGAGGGUGUAGAAAGCUGACCUGGAAUUUUCUAGCUAUAGUUUUGUAUGAAAUUAAAUAAAUAAAAAAAUCCGCUCCCA